CUGUCCUGCUGCCUCCUCGUCAUCAGUGAUGAGUUCCACUAAUUAGUGCCCCUUGCUUCUGUUCCUCUGGCAGAUUCCAGAAGGGGAACCUGCCUGGCUGGAACUGAAGAAAGAGGUGUUCUGAACUUGGCAGCACAGCUCAGUUAAGAGAUCACUGCAUGUUGUGGAACCUUCCUGACACACGAAGGCCUUGGAAGCUGAGGUGCCCUGAGGGCUGCUGGCUCAGAGCAGGGCUGGCCAAGGGGCCUUCUCUGAAAUCCCUUCUUCACAGAGAAAGAGAAAAUUUGCUCAUCUGAUGAUGCACCUGAAAUAAAGUUGCAUGAUCUAUUGAUAUUUAUUAAUGCAGGUACAUGGUUUAAGGUUGAAGAGCAUUUUCCAGCUACCUGUUUUGUGCUUUACUGAAAAAUAAAAAAACCUCAGCCAUGACUGAAGAAUUCAACAUAAAGCCACUGACUGAAGGGAAAAGAGACACAGACAAAGAAGCUGUAUUAAAUGUGAUCAAAAAUUCUAAUGGACAGUUCAACCUUGAGGCUGCAAUUAAAAAUGUUGACAUAAUGUCCAAUGAGUUGAAGAAAAUAAAUGUGGAAAGCCAGCUACUGCUUUGUGACCUGAUUUUGAAUUUCAACCAUCCUGGAAAGGCCAAAGAUUUAAGAGAAGCUGAAGAAAAGGCUUGGAGUUUGACAGAUUAAUGUCUUCCAGGGACAGAACCCUGCCAGUGAACACACCAGCUUUGCACCUGAGCUCACCAGUUUGAUGGAGACAUCAGAGCUGAAGUUUUGUGAGAUACUGGUCAUUAUCUGGACCUGCAAGAGCCUGUGGUGCUGCUUUGGGGCCUUAUGGAAUAAUUCGAUGGUGCUGCUGUACCUCUUACAGCCCCCUAACCGCAGCUCCUCGCCUCGCCUACAAGUGCCCAGGAGGAGAGGGAUGGCGAGGGGAGCCCGUCAUGACAAAGCAAGGCCAGACCCGUCG